rnacentral:sRNA from 1 species
GUCAGGCACGGUGGUGCACGCCUGUAAUCCCAGUGACUUGGGAGGCUGAGGCAGGAGGAUCGUAUUUUUGAGGCCAACUUCAGUGAUUUACUAAGUCCUCAGCAACUGAGAGACGCCCUGUCUCAA